ACUAAGGGUGAGAACACAGACAACAGCAAGUAAGGGUGACAGAUCUUGAGUCCAGCCUAUCCAUCAAGGGACCCAAAGGGGUGACCCAUGUGGAACUGGCAUCACAGAAAACAGACAGAGCCCAUUCCCAGGAGGGUCAAGAAGGGAGUUGGGAAACCAUAGGGUUCAAUGAGGAGGGAGAUUCUACCAUUACCUUCACACCUAAGUGACUGACCAAGUUCCCUAAAAAGUCGCCUGGACUCACCUGCUUCUACUCUCCACUCUAUCCUGCACUGUCACCACAAUCUUCCUCCUCAUAUCCUGCAUCCUCUAUCCCAGACAACACCCCGCUCUCCCCCACUCCACCAUCCAUCCUGUUCUCCAUGCUAGAAUCCUAGGAGUCAACCUCCUCCCUACCUCUCCCUCAACUUGGCACUAUUUUCAUUUGGUCUUUAUCGAAAUGUCUCAACUCCCUUCCUCUCCUAUCACUGACUCAGCAUCUGACCCCAGGCUGCUCACUGGUCUCCUGUUUGUCUGUCUCUCUCUCUCUAGUCUUCCAUACUAGCCCUAAAGGGCUUUGUAAUAAAUGGAUCUGACUAUAUCACUGUGAUUAAACCCUUCCAUGGCUUCCUGCCUGGAGAAGAGAAAUGAGUGUAUUAGCCCAGUGUUCUUUGUGCUGACCUCACAGAACUCUUGCGGUUCCCUAAAUCCACCAGACUUUCUCCUGUGCCUUUAAUGGUUCCUCAUGCUGGAUGGCACUUCCUGGACUAACUCCUCUAAGUCUUUUAAUACCCAGCUUGAGUAUAACCCUCCUCCGAAAGGCUUCCCUGACAACUCCAUCCCCAUUCUGCUUUAAGUCCCCUGCCCUGUAUUCUCUGAAAACCAGCUGAGCACUUACCAUCCUCUACCAUAACAAGUCAUGAAAGGGUCUGACCCCUGACCCUCACCAGAAGGUAAGCUCUUUAAUGGGGACCUUCCACUGCUCAUCCAUCCACUGCCACAGAGGCGGCCAUGGGAAAGAUUCACAGGACAGAGUAAUUCCCAUUCAUGGCAUGCUUGCUCACAGGCAGGAGUGCCUCAGGCACUCUGUUACACCCGACAACCUCCUGUAAGGUAGGCACGUUUCUGCUUUCUUACAGCUAAGUGAGCAGCAGAGUGAGGAUUUGAACCCUCUGACCCCAUAUAUAUGUUUUUUUUUUUUUUUUUGGAGACUGAGUCUUGCCCUGUUGCGCAGGUUGAAGUGCUGCGUGAUCUCAGCUCAAUGCAACCUCUGCCUCCUGGGUUCAAGUGAUUCUCCUGCCUCAGCCUCCUGAGUAGCUGGGACUGCAGGUGCCCUCCACCACGCCCAGCUGAUUUUUGUAUUUUUAGUAGAGACGGAGUUUCAGCAUGUUGGCCAGGCUGGUCUCGAACUCCUGACCUCAAGUGACUGGCCUGCCUCACCCUCCCAAAGUGCUGGGAUUACAGGUAUGAGCCACCACGCCUGGCCCCCAUAUUCUUAACUACCAAGCUGUACUUAUGCUCUCUGGGAUCCUUCACAAAACAUGAAUGUCACUGCUCUGCUGUAUGCCUCCAGUCUCCCCAUCUCUCCUCUCCUCCAUCAUCAUACCUUUUCCAGCCUGUCCCUUCUGCAGUUCUUGGCUCACCAUCUGAGUAUCUAUGAGACUGCUUAAAGUCUCUCUGCCUGGAAAUAAAACUUGCAAAUGAAAGCCUUCUGAAACCACAUCUUGUUCUGAAUUGUCACCUUUGCCUCUGCUCAUCUCUGCCACAGAUAUCCAGCUCACUCUCCUCACCACACCUGUGCUCAUGUUGUUCCCUCUGCCUCAAAUGCACCGACAGACAUGUAAUAAGCACCCCUUAUGUGCCAAGCAUGAUGUCAGGAGCUGGGAAUACAGGGUGAAUCAGCUAAGCCCUGCUUCCAAGAGAGGCAUGCCGUUAAAGGGGAAAGACGCUUAUGUAGUAACUAUGCAACUCAAGUGUCACUACUAGAGGAUAUGGAGGUAUAUUUGUUAGUAAAGGCAUGGCUACCUAUGCUUGGAAACAGCCAAUAUGCUGAGGUGACAGAAACAGAAAGCAGAGGUUGUGAGAGCCUGUGCAUGAGUUAGUCACCUAUGAGGGACACUGAUGUGCUGAAGAGGCUGCAGAGGCCUCAUGUACAGGAGCCUGAGCAUGGUGAGCCAAGAAGGGAGCUGCAGACUGACUGGGUAGGGUACAGCCUGAGACUCCUGUGGUCUCUGGUUCAGGGCCCUGCUUCUCAUGCUGGGGACGUCUCUACCAUGUAAUACCCCAGGAAUCCUCACCACCUAACCUGAUCCACCUGGAGGAACCCCGGCUUGGGAGAUGGCAGGGCAGAUGCUCUUGGCAGCAUUCAGGCCUGGGCUUAAGUUACUCCCUGAUGUGGCCAUCUGCUAUGCCCCAGGGAUAGGAAGGAAAAAUGGGCCUGAAGGAAAGGAGGUAAAAGAAGUAGAAUGAGGGUCAACACACUCAGGGAGCACAAGGCAGGAAAGUAGAGAGACCAAAUGAGAGAGUGGAGGGCAUACCCUUGUUGAGUCUGGAAGGAAAGAGGAGGAGCUGUGGAGAGGCACCAGGAUAACCCUGUGCUGAAGGGCAAGGUAGAGAGACACCAGAGUGAGGGUCUAUAAAAAUGUCCUGAUCCCCCCAGCUCCCAGGACGAGGGGAUGGAAGCCAGCGAGAGGCAGAGUGAAGUCCUGAAGCUGAGCGUUGUAAUGUCUGGGUAGACCUGUGGGAGAGCUGGCUGCAGCCUCAGGAUGGAGGUCUGGAAGACAGAAGUUUCAGACCAAUUGGCAAAAGAGGGACAACCCAACUUCCUCAUGGGGUGACUGGAGGAUUGAACAAGCAAGUCCUAAGAGCUGCUACUCAAUCAUUCAUCAAUUUAGAGCUGUCUGCUGGGCCCUAGAGCAGUUCUCAAGGCUGGGAAGUCCAAGGCCAACAGACUGCCUCUGGUGAGGGUCCUCUUGCUGGUGGAGACUCUGCAGAGCCCCAAGAUGGCACAAGGCAUAACAUGGUGAGGGAACUGAAGCAAUGUCAAGCUGGCUUUUACAACAGACCCACUCUCAUGAUAACCCAUUAUUCCAUGAAUAAAUGAAUUCAUUCCCACAGGCAGAGCCUUCAUGACCUAAUCAUCUCUUAAAGUCCCCACCUUGGCCGGGCGUGGUGGCUCACACCUGUAAUCCCAGCACUUUGGGAGGCUGAGGCAGGCAGAUCACGAGGUCAGGAGAUCGAGACCAUCCUGGCUAACACAGUGAAACCCCGCCUCUA